AUUAGGGUUUUACUUUUCACUGAAACAGGCCUAUUCCUUAUAAACGGCGAAAGAAAGAGAGGUUUUCGACCAGGGUGGACACGAAACGAAUAUUCGGGAUUUUGGUAGUAUUUGUGGUCCAAUUUGCUACGUCCGAAUAGUUAAUUUUCUGUUUUGUAUUUGCUUCGAAAGUAACCGAAUAUCCUGCUGCCCAGCUAUCCGUUAAAAUCUGAGCUAUUUGUCGGAUAUUCGAUUUUUUAUAUUUCAUUAAUAUAUAUAU
rnacentral:sRNA from 1 species